CAGGCUCCAUCCAUUCCUGGGUCCUCGCGCCAAUUAAUGACGCGGCUUCUCCUUCUUCUAUCUUGGGAAUCUCAAUACGGGAGCACGAAUCCUGGAACAUGCGUUGCAUGUCGCCUUUGCACAAAGGUUCGUCGUUUUUAAUUCGGUUCGCAACGUUAGGAUGGAACUUGAACUAAUUAUAAAAUUAAUUGCAUAAGUCGUUCCAAAUAAUUCUAUUAAAUUUAAUUAAUUCAUAAUUAACAACAGACUAGGCUGUUAGCAGGAUUUGCUGGCGUUUACUGUAGCAUCAUGUGCUAAUAAUAUAUUAAUUAGGUUUAAUGGGUUCAUCUUGCGAAUUAGCAAUUAUUUUUGUCAUUAGCUUAUCUUUAAUACUCAUAAUUAAUGUUCAAACAUCCGAUGUGACUGAACUAAACUUUAGCCCGCUGGUAUCAAAUACCCCUUACUCUAGAGAGCGUCAAUAGGAGGUAUCUGGACCGUUUAGGAUUAGCUCGAGAUCUGUUCCUGCACCCUCCUCCUCUGAAUUAAGUCCCAUCUAUAUAGUAGCUUUAUGUCAUAUCGUAUAAGCUAUGGUACAUCCUCUUCACAACUUUGAUCCUGGUCCUUUUCAAUAUUCAAAAUCACUUGAAUGUCACCCCUCUCUCCCCUGUUCGUCGUCGCUCUUUCUCCCUUUCUCCGUCCCUCCACCUUCCCCCUCUCUUUCCUUUCAACCGGGAACCUGCGGCGACGAAUCUGGCCGUCAGGGCCAGAUCCAGCAACGGUGGUACCAGGCGGCGGUGGCUUAGGCCGCCGCAAGGACCGGGCAACAUCAACGUCACCAUGGGCAUUUCAGACCAUACGAAAAGCAACAUCAACGUCACCAUGGGCAUUUCAGACCAUACGAAAAUACAGAGGCUUGUGGGUGGGUCCAAGAGCAACGAAGACGUAUAAAAUGGCACGAUUCAGACAACCCAUGAAUUGUAAUGGCAUGGUUACAAAUACGCGAAUUGUAAUGGUAUAUCUCCAAACUUGUGAAGUUGCAAUGGUACCGUUCCAAUUAACCCUAAAUUAUAGUGUUACUUAUACUGAAACAUGUGUUCAAUUAUUAGUAGUCUAAUUUAAAUCUUCUAACAAACUGAGUACAUGUUAUUUUAAUUUCUUAACACAAUUCAGUAAUUAUUUGCUGAGCUCGCGUCGUGUGCAUCUCAUGUAGCAACAACUGGUUGAUGUCUUGGUACCUAUCAAGCUCGAGCUCAGGCUUUUGAUUUGUGAUGUCACUUUCAUGCUACAACCAUCAACUACUUGAGUAAUCUUGCAUAACAUUUGUUUUAGUGGAUAAAACUUGUGUGUGUGACCUUUAGCAUGUUCCUGGUACAGUUAAUUCAAUCAAAUGUUUCUAUGCCAGGUCAUCUUGUUACAAGUAGCUUGCCCACCUUUCAUUUUGUGAUUGUUUCAUCGUGUACAGACGUAGAAACAUGGCUUAGUUGCUAUUUAGUUUACUGGUCAAUAAAUCUUGUUUUGUAUGCUUGCAUUUAUUUUUAUCUAUCUGUUUCCAAAUCCAAGCUACUUCAUUUGAUGCUUUCGAGCAUUUCCAUAUGCUCCCGUCUAUUUUUCUCUUUGAGAAUGGCAUAACCUGUGUCUAUGAGGGAAUCAUCAGUUUGUUAUACGGAUUUAGUUCUCUGGUUGACGAAAGUGACAAUGUCACAUCGUCAUUUUGUUAUACGGAUUUAGUUCUCUGGUUGACGAAACUGACAAUGUUCUGUUCGUGGUCCCUGACAGGUUAUAUCCCCAUGGUUCCUCCUACUGUUUGUUGGAUUUUAGAAAAUCUCGAGGCAUUUUUCAUUUGAAUUUUCCACCUUUUUAUUUUAACUUUUUUCGUGUGCGCCGG
rnacentral:lncRNA from 1 species